rnacentral:rRNA from 1 species
AUUGAACGCUGGCGGCAUGCUUUACACAUGCAAGUCGAACGGCAGCGCGGGCUUCGGCCUGGCGGCGAGUGGCGAACGGGUGAGUAAUGCAUCGGAACGUGCCCAGUAGUGGGGGAUAGCCCGGCGAAAGCCGGAUUAAUACCGCAUACGACCUGAGGGUGAAAGCGGGGGACCGAAAGGCCUCGCGCUAUUGGAGCGGCCGAUGUCGGAUUAGCUAGUUGGUGGGGUAAAGGCUUACCAAGGCGACGAUCCGUAGCUGGUCUGAGAGGACGACCAGCCACACUGGGACUGAGACACGGCCCAGACUCCUACGGGAGGCAGCAGUGGGGAAUUUUGGACAAUGGGGGCAACCCUGAUCCAGCCAGGCCGCGGGCGGGAAGAAGGCCUUCGGGUUGUAAACCGCUUUUGUUCGGGAAGAAAUCCUCUGGGCUAAUACCCCGGGGGGAUGACGGGACCGGAAGAAUAAGCACCGGCGAACUACGU